UACGUAGGGUGCAAGCGUUGUCCGGAAUUACUGGGCGUAAAGGGCGCGUAGGCGGCCGUUUGCGUCGGAUGUGAAAGCCCGGGGCUCAACCUCGGAACGGCAUUCGAUACGGGACGGCUAGAGACCGGGAGAGGAGAGUGGAAUAGCCAGUGUAGAGGUGAAAUUCGUAGAUAUUGGCUGGAACACCGGUGGCGAAAGCGGCUCUCUGGCCCGGUUCUGACGCUGAGGCGCGAAAGCGUGGGGAGCAAACAGG
rnacentral:rRNA from 1 species